rnacentral:misc_RNA from 1 species
GUGAUUGUUCCCAUUUGUUCACUGUUUCUUAAUAGGUAUUUGAAUGAAAAACGGGGUUUGCCUUUUCUUUGAACUUUUUUUGGUUCUUGAUCUUUAAUCUAUAUUAUGAAAAUAAUGGUGAUGCCUGGUGGCUAGUUAAAUGUUCAAUGCCCAUUCAUUAUUGCUUCUGAAUAUUGUUUUCACUGUGUAACGGUAUUUCAAACAUUUUAGAAGAUUGGGAGUUUCUCUUACUUUAAUCUGUUUUUCGGCCAUUUUCCAUCAAAUAAGUUAGCAUAGGAGAUGGUGUUGGUUUCUUUUAAGACUCCACAGCCAAGGAAUUCGAUGAUAUUGCCUAAUUUCGGUCAGACUGGAUGUGUUAUUAUUUGUAGUAUUAUAGCUACUUCCUCUGUUUUGGGCAAAUGGUGUGAAAGAAAAUAUUGGGUUUUUGUGCCUACCUUACUUUUUGUUUAAGUAUCCAGCUGCUUGCCUGCUUGUGGUUUAGCUUAUCUGUUCACUUGGAUGUGUAUGAAGGCACUUUGGGUAUUCUGAGAUUUCAA